CGCAUCUGUGCAUGCAGCAUAUCAAUAAGCGGAGGAAAAGAAACUAACAAGGAUUCCCUUAGUAACGGCGAGUGAAGCGGGAAGAGCUCAAAUUUGAAAUCUUCAAGGUUUUACCUUGACGAAUUGUAGUUUAAAGAAGUGUUUUCUGUUGAAGUUUUGGUAAAAGUUCUUUGGAAUAGGACAGUCAUAGAGGGUGAGAAUCCCGUAUUUGACCAUUAUUUUCAGCUGUGUGAUACACUUUCAAAGAGUCGGAUUGUUUGGGAAUGCAGUCCAAAAUGGGUGGUAAAUUUCAUCUAAAGCUAAAUAUUGGCGAGAGACCGAUAGCGAACAAGUACCGUGAGGGAAAGAUGAAAAGAACUUUGAAAAGAGAGUUAAACAGUACGUGAAAUUGUCAAAAGGGAAGCGUUUGACACCAGUGUUGUUUUCUCGAAAAUCAAUUAAAAAGAGUUUGAUUUUGUUGUGUAUUGACCUUAACAGCUUGCAUUUCAAUUUUCUUGCUUUUUUUAAUGCACUUUUCGUUUAACAAGUCGAACAUCAGUUUCUUUUGUUGUAAAAAGGUCAUUGGAAGGUGGCUUUCUUUUCGGAGAAAGUGUUUAUAGCCUUUGACUCCUGCAAUCGGAGAGACUGAGGUCUGCAGCGUAGAUCCUUCGGGGUUAGAUACAUUUGUGCUAAGUUAUAGCUUUUUAUAGACAACUUGUUGACUAUGAUUAGUCUUGUAGCUUACUCGCUUAUGCUAUUUUACCUACGCUUAGGAUGUUGACGCGCGUGUGUGCGUG
rnacentral:rRNA from 1 species